rnacentral:rRNA from 1 species
UGCCAGCAGCCGCGGUAAUACGGAGGGGGUUAGCGUUGUUCGGAAUUACUGGGCGUAAAGCGUGCGUAGGCUGAUUGGUCAGUCAGAGGUGAAAUCCCAGGGCUUAACCCUGGAACUGCCUUUGAUACUGCUAGUCUAGAGUAUGAGAGAGGUGAGUGGAAUUCCAAGUGAAGAGGUGAAAUUCGUAGAUAUUUGGAGGAACACCAGCGGCGAAGGCGGCUCACUGGCUCAUUACUGACGCUGAGGUACGAAAGUGUGGGUAGCAAACAGGAUUAGAUA